UAACUACCUACGAGUCUCGCACGUGCCAACUUCGGAAGCGCUUACCACGAUCUGGGGGUGGAGUUUUCCAGCUUCUGAGGUCAAAAUGUCGCGAGAGGACACUCAUGCAUGCUCAGUGGGAGGAUUGGCGGGCCUAUCCAGUCUUAACCAGCUCAGCUCCAAACUGACGCAGCUGACUCCAAGUACCUGCAAAACAACCCAGGGAAAUAUAGUUUAGGCUACAUGCAGUUUGGAGGACCUGCAGUUUUCAAAGGAUCGUGAUUAGUGAAGGCAGGUGAAAUGGAGUUGACUAAUAGUGAUCCACGCUUUCCUUAUACUUCCCAUCAUGACCUGGGAGACUCUGUGUCCUUGACACCAGGAGAAAAUGGGAGGGGAUUCCCAAAAGCAUAGAGCUACCCGGAACAGCCAUGCAGUUGAAUCAUAGAGAAAGAAGUGCUGCAGUUCAAGAGGAUAAAAUAAAGACAAAGAGAGGAUUUGGGGGGUUUCCUGGACUAGAGCAUUCCACUUCCUCAUUCUUGGGGCCCGGCUGCAUUCCUGCCCUGAGAGGAGACAUUACAAAACAAGAGCAACAGAAUCAGUGCGAAACAAUCAGGAAUAUGUUGAUUAAUUUCUGCUGAUAAUUCCCAGUGUUGAGUGUGGUGCCUGACAUUUGAAAAGUGGAAGAAACUACAUAUGCUGAGGAGUGCUUCAAGGGGGAAGAAGAGAACAGAACUAUUGGUAGAAAUUCCUAUUUCACAUCAUGAAAGUAAUAUGUCUUUUAAUUUAUAUAGGACUUAUUUAAUGUAUUUCAAAACGUUUUAUGAUUUGCUCCAUAAAGUUCUUGAAUAUAACUUGAUAAAUUUAUUUUUAGCAGAAUUUGUCAUUUUUGUUGCUGUAGUAAAUAACAAUUUAGAAAAUUACAUGGUUUUUCUCAAUUUGUUGCUGAUGUUUAGAAAUACAGUUGAUUUUGACUUUGUAUCUAGAAGACUCACUGAACUUUCUUACUACUAUUCAUAAUUUAUUUGGAUUUAUUUUUUGAUUUUCCAAGUAGACA